rnacentral:misc_RNA from 1 species
UCUCCGUAGGUGAACCAGCGGAGGGAUCAUUACUGAAUAACAGAGCUGCGAGGGCUGUCGCUGACCCGAAAGGUCGUGGAUGCUCCAGUGCCCCCACACACACCCAUCUCACCCCAACGUGCGCCACCGCGCGGGUCCCCCUCUGGUUUGUUCGGAGGGGGGCUUUCGUUUUCACACACAAUUUGUAUGCAGAGCAGAUUGUAUUUUUUGUCUUUGUGAUCACGCAAUCAAUAAAACCUUCAACAACGGAUAUCAUGCCUCUCGAAUCGAUGAACAACC